rnacentral:pre_miRNA from 1 species
CCACAUCACCACAGGUUGGCUGCUGGACCCCAGGUGUCUCUGGGCGAGUACCUCUUUGAGCGGCUCACUCUCAAGCAUGACUCAAAGGCUCUCCUUCC